rnacentral:tRNA from 1 species
GAGGGUACAGCUCAGUGGUAGAGCAUGUGCUUAGCAUGCAGGAGGUCCUGGGUUCAAUCCUCACUACCUCCA